rnacentral:lncRNA from 1 species
AUCACAUGGUAAAACUUGACUGGAUAAGGAAUUCCUUCUUAUGGAUAAGCAAAGAAAUUGGUGUUUUGAGAUGGAAUCCACUCUUGGUGAAGAUGCUGUGAACAUCGUUGAAAUGAUAACAAAGGACUGAGAAUAUUCUAGACACUUAAUUGAUAAAGCACUGGCAAGGUUUGAGAGGAUUGACUCCAACUUUGAAAGAAGUUCUACUGUGGGUAAAAUGCUAGGAAACAGCGUUGCUCUGAAACCCAAUAAGUGGCACAAAGUGACAGACCUGAGAGAGAUGUCAGUAGUACAUGACAGGUCCAUCUCCAAAAUUACUCUGUGAAGUUACCUGCAUUGAUCUCAUCCAUCAGAUACUGGGCCCUCUAUUCAGUGCUUUCUAGAAAAAAAAAUCUACAUCUCUAUUACCUUCCACACCUGGCGUUCCCAACCUGUCCAUCCCUGGCCUCAUUUGCUUGACAGACAUUACAGGAGAGCAUAGUCUAUGUUCUAUUCCAUUUUAAGUCCUCAGAAUGCAGAUGGUGCCUGGCCAACUGUGUACUUGAAUGUUGAAUGAACUAAUUGGUGGUUCGGCCCAUACAUAAACUUUGUUUUCAGGCAUCCCAGAGGCCUCUGUUGAAGGAGUUCUGUGUUUCUUUAUCUUCCCUUCUUGUUCCUCUAUCCCAGCCCAAGACUUACUGCCCCCACUGACCCUUUGGCCAACCAAACUUCUGGUUUUCUUGGCAAGACCAGUUUUGGAAAUCUCAAGUCCAAUCUAUAAUUUUUUUUAAAAACCACAUAUAAUUUAUUCCACUCUAAAAUUAAUAUCUUCCUUUUAUUAUGCUUCAUUUUUCUAUUUCAAGGCAGUCUUAUGUUGCAAACCACUUUUGGAUCAUGAUUUGUAAUGUGUAUGUGAGUUUGAGGUGUACAUGCUCACAGAAGAUGUUUCUUUUUUUCUGCAGCAACUCACAGACCAAAUCUAUUAAAUUUGGACCAGAAAGAGCAUCCUCUUACUAAAGACUCAGCCUGUAAACUGGAAAAAGAAUCACGACUAUUUUGGGGAGCAGCUGCCCUCAGAAUUCUGAUCAUCCAUCUUUAAUUUUUUUUAAUGACUAGAUUGCAGAUGACUUCAAUCUUGCCCAUAGGGAUGCUGUGUUCCAUUAACUGUCUCCAUACAUCUCUACAGAUCAAGCUUUUCUGGCUGCCCCUCUGACUUUGCUGCUCAUUAUGAAAUUGUGCCCACUUGGCUUCCCAUUGUUAAGUACUGUCUCCUGGCCCCUAAUAUGGGAUCCUGUCAUCCCCAUUGCUAUCAGGAAGCCCAGUUCUAUAAAAGUAUUUCCAAAGGCUAGUCCAGGCCAAUAGAGAAUAGCCAUCACUGUGCAUCUCAAAGAUGAGGGUGCCUCUCUCACCAAUGCAUUUCUUACUACUUUGGUAAGUGGAAUAUUUGCCAGGUUCUCUCUUGAAACAGAGUUGGCUACUGGACCUUCCAGCCUUAUCUGCUGUAUCCUCUUCAGUGUGCCUUUUCUGAGGCUUUGAGACCUUUUUCCACUGUCAGUCAUGGCAGCUCUGGCAUUUCUACUUCACUAAGCUUGGGCUGUCCAUCACUGUCUCCUAGCUUCCAAG